CGGAUGACAAGGUAAGUGACAUCGUACAUGCUCUGGGUGUCUUGAGGAGCUUGUCUUUGGAUGAUGCUGAGCAGGUCUUUCUUUCUGGUAACGGUUAUCAUUACAGUGAAGUAAAAGAAUUUAACAGACAGAUUGACAAACAACUGACAAAAGAAGAGAGACCAUUUAAUAGUGGAUACCCUUCCAGCCGCAACCCAGUACUGGGAAACACCCAUUUACACUUAUAUACUUGAACAUGGGGAGAACAUGCAAACUCCACACAGAAAUGACCACUGGCCCAGCCGGGGCUUGAACCAGCAACCUUCUUGCUGUGAGGCGACGGUGCUAACCACUGUGCUGCCCCAUGUGCUCUAUGCGGAGGCCUCUAGAGAUCGUGACCUGUGAAGAGAUGAUGCCACCAUAGAGGACUUCUAGAUGUAUCCAUAAUCCUGGACCAGACCGCAUCACGAGCAGAUGCAGUGGUGGUCAUGGAGAAGUGGAGAGCAUGAUACUGAUUAAUGAAAGACCCCAGUGACAGAUGAGUGCCCACAUUGAUCCUGUGGUCCAGCCUGAAAAC
ensembl:processed_transcript